rnacentral:rRNA from 1 species
CCUCUUACCAUUCCGAACAGAGAAGUUAAGCCCAUUUGCGCCGAUGGUACUGCAUUUGUGGGAGAGUAGGUCGUCGCCUUUU